GCACCCGUAGCUCAGGUGGAUAGAGCGGUGGUUUCCUAAACCACGUCUUGCGGGGGUUCGAGUCCCUCCGGGUGCGCCA
rnacentral:tRNA from 2 species